rnacentral:ncRNA from 1 species
CUACGGACUUGAUUGUAUUGAGCCUUGGUAUGGAAACCUGCUAAGUGGUAACUUCCAAAUUCCGAGAAACCCUCGAAUGAAAAAUGGGCAAUCCUGAGCCAAAUCCUUUUUUGAAAAAGCAAGUGUUCUCAAACUAGAACCCAAAGGAAAAUGAUAGGUGUAGAGACUCAAUGGAAGUUGUUCUAACGAAACGAAGUAAUAACAAUUAAUCAUAGAACCCAUAUUAUAAUAUAGACUCUUUAUUUUAUUUUUAGAAUGAAAUUAGG